GACGAACGCUGGCGGCGUGCCUAAUACAUGCAAGUCGAGCGAACGGAGGAGAGCUUGCUCUCCGAAGUUAGCGGCGGACGGGUGAGUAACACGUGGCCAACCUGCCUAUAAGACUGGGAUAACUUCGGGAAAACGGAGCUAAUACAGGAUAGAUUCUUUCCUCUCAUGAGGAAAGAAGGAAAGAUGGUUUCGGCUAUCACUUAUAGAUGGGCCCGCGGCGCCUUAGCUAGUUGGUAAGGAAACGGCUUACCAAGGCGACAAUACGUAGCCGACCUGGGAGGGUGAUCGGCCACAAUGGAACUGAGACACGGUCCAGCCUCCUACGGGAGGCAGCAGUAGGGAAUCUUCCGCAAUGGGCGAAAGCCUGACGGAGCGACGCCGCGUGAGUGAUGAAGGGUUUCGGUUCGUAAACCUCUGUUAUUAGGGAAGAACAAAUGUGUAAGUAACUGUGCACAUCUUGACGGUACCUAAUCAGAAAGCCACGGCUAACUACGUGCCAGCAGCCGCCGUAA
rnacentral:rRNA from 1 species